UCCUACGGGGGGCAGCAGUGAGGAAUAUUGGUCAAUGGACGAGAGUCUGAACCAGCCAAGUAGCGUGAAGGAUGACUGCCCUAUGGGUUGUAAACUUCUUUUAUAUGGGAAUAAAGUGAGCCACGUGUGGCUUUUUGUAUGUACCAUACGAAUAAGGAUCGGCUAACUCCGUGCCAGCAGCCGCGGUAAUACGGAGGAUCCGAGCGUUAUCCGGAUUUAUUGGGCGUAAAGCGAGUGCAGGCGGUGCAAUA
rnacentral:rRNA from 1 species